GUGAGGAAUAUUGGUCAAUGGGCGAGAGCCUGAACCAGCCAAGUCGCGUGAAGGAAGAAGGAUCUAUGGUUCGUAAACUUCUUUUGCAGGGGAAUAAAGUGCAGGACGUGUCCUGUUUUGUAUGUACCCUGAGAAUAAGGAUCGGCUAACUCCGUGCCAGCAGCCGCGGUAAUACGGAGGAUCCGAGCGUUAUCCGGAUUUAUUGGGUUUAAAGGGUGCGUAGGUGGUUUGAUAAGUCAGCGGUGAAAGUUUGCAGCUUAACUGUAAAAUUGCCGUUGAAACUGUCGAUCUUGAGUGCAAAUGAGGUAAGCGGAAUGUGUUGUGUAGCGGUGAAAUGCUUAGAUAUAACACAGAACACCGAUUGCGAAGGCAGCUUACUGGGAUGCAACUGACGCUCAUGCACGAAAGCGUGGGGAUCAAACAGGAUUAGAAACCCUAGUAGUCC
rnacentral:rRNA from 1 species